UCUUCACAAUUCUGCCUCACGUAAAUAUGUCCAAGCGGAAACAGUAGAGAGAGAGAACUGUAGGGCUUGUACGUGCUGCACAGUGCUAGAAAUUUCAAUGAAGGCAAUAACGAACACGAAGUUGUGAACAUUUGCUAUAAUGAGAAGAAAUACAGGAAAUUAGGUGAAUUUUCCUGUGAAAAUCGGGAGGGUUUUGCAAGUAUGAGCUAAUCUCCGUGGCCUCUGUGUUUAUUUCUGUACAGUACCGUGCUGCGUGUAAUGUUGUAUUAUUCUUUUGCUGACGCUGGUCACUCACCUGUCCGCAAUCUGCACACCUGCCAUGCCAGUCAGCUCCUCCCGUUAAGCUCAGGCUUUAUAUCCAGGCCUCGCUGGAUGGUUGAGUAAUACACAAACCAACUGCCACUGGAUUCCAUUCUCAAACUUCCCAGAGAGCCACUCUGCAACACACCAUGUGGUCUACAAACAAUUCCACUCUCCAGCCAACCAAACUCGCUAGCUCACUCCGACCACACCACUCUGUACGAACCCCCUCCGCUGGUUACAGAUUCUGUGUUUAAAUAAACUGUUUCUGUCUCCACUCUGCUUCUGGGUCCUAGCCACCAAUCCUGACACAUAAUUGCUAUGAAAGCCUGUGUGCUCUGUCUUAAAAUAAUGUCCCUAAAUUGGCUGUUUAUGACACUUGCUGGAAAGAAUGCUUGAUUAAAUGGGAUUCUGUGAAAUUAAACAAA